CCAGGCUCUGGGAUAGCCACCGGAAACGGUGAUUAAUACCGGAUACGACAACCGAUUGCAUGAUCUGGUUGUGGAAAGUUUUUCGGCCUGGGAUGUGCUCGCGGCCUAUCAGUUUGUUGGUGAGGUAAUGGCUCACCAAGGCUUCGACGGGUAGCCGGCCUGAGAGGGUGACCGGCCACACUGGGACUGAGACACGGCCCAGACUCCUACGGGAGGCAGCAGUGGGGAAUAUUGGACAAUGGGCGGAAGCCUGAUCCAGCAACGCCGCGUGAGGGAUGACGGCCUUCGGGUUGUAAACCUCUUUCAGCACAGACGAAGCGCAAGUGACGGUAUGUGCAGAAGAAGGACCGGCCAACUACGUGCCAGCAGCCGCGGUAAUACGUAGGGUCCGAGCGUUGUCCGGAAUUAUUGGGCGUAAAGGGCUCGUAGGCGGUCUGUCGCGUCGGGAGUGAAAACCAGGUGCUUAACACCUGGCCUGCUUUCGAUACGGGCAGACUAGAGGUACUCAGGGGAGAAUGG
rnacentral:rRNA from 1 species